GAGAAGAAACUAAGGUGGUA
rnacentral:piRNA from 1 species